GACGUAGGGCGCGAGCGUUGUCCGGAUUUAUUGGGCGUAAAGAGCUCGUAGGCGGCUCGUUGCGUCGGCUGUGAAAACCCGCAGCUCAACUGUGGGCUUGCAGCCGAUACGGGCGGGCUGGAGUUCGGUAGGGGAGAAUGGAAUUCCUGGUGUAGCGGUGAAAUGCGCAGAUAUCAGGAAGAACACCCGUGGCGAAGGCGGUUCUCUGGGACGGUACUGACGCUGAGACGCGAAAGCGUGGGGAGCGAACAGG
rnacentral:rRNA from 1 species